CAAAACGUAGCUUAACUAAAGCACCUCGCUUACACCGAGGAGAUGUCUGUGAAACCCAGAUCAUUUUGA
rnacentral:tRNA from 1 species